CGAAGGGCGUAGCGUUGUUCGGAAUGACUGGGCGUAAAGACGCACGUAGGCGGACAUUUAAGUCAGGGUGGAAAUACCCGGGGCGUCAACCUCGGAACUGCCUUUGAUACUGGGUGUCUGGAGUGUGGAAGAGGUGAGUGGAAUUCCGAGUGUAGAGGUGAAAUUCGUAGAUAUUCGGAGGAACACCAGUGGCGAAGGCGGCUCACUGGUCCACAACUGACGCUGAGGUGCGAAAAGCGUGGGGAGCAAACAGGAUU
rnacentral:rRNA from 1 species